UAAUUUCUGAACCUGGAUUCAUCGAUGGAUGAUAUCUUCCUUUUUGUUUGUUGUGACCUGUGAUGCGAAAUUGUUAACCAAUACAUAUGGAUAAUUGAUGUUAGUUGGAGUUGUUUAAUGGCAUUUGUUGUUCGUGAAUGAUGGUUAACACCUGAGUCUGGAUUGGUUGAUUCUGGAUGUGAAGUGACUAUGUUUAAAGAUUUAGCACUUUUCCUCGCACAACUAUUGUAGAUCAGAUGCCAAAGGAAGUAUGAAUACAGUUUGUUCACUUGGG
rnacentral:lncRNA from 1 species